CAUGGCAUCAUCUAUUUCGGAUCACGAGGAAGAAGUAGAUGAAACUGAGCUAAAGCUGUUAGUUGAGGCAGAGAUAAUAGACGAAGAUGGAAGAGUUCUCACGCAAUAAAAACUCAGGGCAAAAGAUGUUUUCAAGCUAAAAGAAGGUGAAAAGAUUCUGGUACCUGUUAACGAAUUUCAUCAACCAAUCAAAGCAGCAGCUCGUUUAUGCACUAGAUUCAUGACCCUACUUCUAAAAGAACCACACUUGUGUCUACCUGAUACUAAAAACCGGAAAGAAUGCAAAAUUAGAUGUGGUACUAGGCUUCUGAUAGAGCUUCGGAGAUUUAACUUACCUCAAGGAGAUAAUGUGGACAAAGUCCUUCUGGAUACAUUCAAUGAGAAAUUUAGGAGUCUGAAAUUUAGGUUCAAAAAUAAGCUGCUUAAGUUAGCUGCCAAAAAGUUAGAUGAAGCUAACAUUGGUGGAGAUGAUGUGGAAUACACAGAGGAUCAACUUUUAAAUGCACUUGACUUGGUUAGAGCACCAGAUAACUUUUUAGAUCAUCAGUGGGAAGUGUUCAAAAACAAUCUUAGAUCACCAACAGCAAAGAAAUUGUCCAAAUAUGGAAAGGAUGCAAGAGAUAGCAAAGUUCAUCAUCACAGCACGGUGCUGUUAGUUUUGCACGGAAAAAAGAUGAAUUCUUGGUUAUCAAAGGAAGAGAGGCAAAUGACGUUGAGUUCUUUAGAAGUUCUCAUUUGAUGAAAAAUGGGUCAUAUGCUAAACAUGCAUCAAGACAACUUUUGGAUCGAGCACAAGAAGGAAUUGCUAGAAAGGUAUUAGAGGCCGGCAGUGACUCUAUUGAUUCUGAAAAGCAAUUAGAAAUUGUAAGGGAAGUUAUGCAAGAACUAAGGGGCCCAAAUAAGCGUGGACGACCUCCUAGUUAUGGAGCUGGAGUUAAAAGAUCGCAAGUAACUAAGUUUAGUUUUGAUUUGCGAAAGUUAAGAGGCAAAAAUAUAGCAAAUGAAAACAGAUUCCUUUUGGAUAAAGUUGACACUCAAAGUAAGCAAAUUGAAUCUCAAAGGGAACAAAUAGAAACUCAGAGUAGGCAGAUAGAAAGUCAGAGUAAGCAAAUGUUGAUUAUGCAGCAGAGUAUUGAUGAUUGUACUGCAGAGCUUCGACUCUUUAGGACUGCUUUUUCUGACUUCUAUGGGGCACGUAUGUCCACAACACCACAGACAUCUUCUCGUGCAUUUCAUCAAGAUCAUUUAUGAAUCUGCUUCAAUAUUUGUGUUUUGAAAGGUACUUUCUAAAGGGACUCAAAGAUGUAAAUGAGAUAUGAAAUAUGAAUGUACAGCCAAUGGAAUAUGUAGUGAAAUUAGUAUUGAAUGUACAUUAGAGCUCAUGAAUGUAUAACCCAAGAGUUUCUAAAUAAUCUUUUAAUUUCUA